rnacentral:rRNA from 1 species
CAGCCGCCGCGGAAUACCGAGGGUGCGAGCGUUAAUCGGAUUUACUGGGCGUAAAGCGUGCGUAGGCGGCUUCUUAAGUCGGAUGUGAAAUCCCUGAGCUUAACUUAGGAAUUGCAUUCGAUACUGGGAAGCUAGAGUAUGGGAGAGGAUGGUAGAAUUCCAGGUGUAGCGGUGAAAUGCGUAGAGAUCUGGAGGAAUACCGAUGGCGAAGGCAGCCAUCUGGCCUAAUACUGACGCUGAGGUACGAAAGCAUGGGGAGCAAACAGGAUUAGAUACCCCCGUAGUCCCUGUCUCUUAUACA